GUCCAGUUGACGAAUCCCAAAUAGGACAAAACACGGGUCCUGUAU
rfam:Schistosoma haematobium scaffold728_3, whole genome shotgun sequence.